rnacentral:RNase_P_RNA from 1 species
AAAGGUGGCUGGGCAGUCGCUCUUCUUUUAUUAGGAGGGAGGAAAGUCCGGGCUCCAGAGGGCAGAGUGCCAGGUAACACCUGGGGGGCGCGAGCCUACGGAAAGUGCAGCAGAAAGGAAACCGCCUAAGCCGCUUUGCGGCCGGUAAGGUUGAAAAGGUGCGGUAAGAGCGCACCGCGCAGCUGGUAACAGUCUGCGGCGAUGGUAAACCCCACUCGGAGCAAGACCAAAUAGGAAUCCUAUAGGCGUUGCCCGCGCUGGAUUCGGGUAGGUCGCUUGAGGUGUUCGGUGACGAGCAUCCCAGAUGAAUGACUGUUCACGACAGAACCCGGCUUACAGGCCGCCUUUGACU